rnacentral:lncRNA from 1 species
UGGUGUAGUCAUCAUAGCCUUCACUAGGAAUAUCUAGAAUUCUGCCCAAUUCAAGUGCAUCAAAUUGCACCCUUAUUCCCUUCACCACAUUGGUCACUACCCCAUUUUUCACUGUGGCAUUAGCCAUGAACUCGAACAGCUCAUUUCUUGCCAGCCUUUCAUCCAUUUGAAGAACUAUGUUCUUCCACCCCAGUGCAUCUAGGGCAUCCAACUGUCUAAUCAUGUUUGACUCCUCCAGGUCUUUCAACAACCUUCCCUUCAGAAUCUUCCUCCUGCCAAAAAUGGCAAACCUGUUCCUUUUCAGACUCAUCCUCUUCUUCUUCCUUACUCCAUUAUUCUUCUUCACUCCAUUCUUCUUCUUCUUCUUCUUCUUCAGUAACUUUUACAUGUUUUCCCUUCACUGCAGACCUAGUUCUUUUUGCCAAGGAGGGUUCAGCAGGUACAGAUUUUGAAUACUUCUUUGUAGAAGUCUUGGAUUUCUUUGGUUUGGCAGUGGGAACCUCCACAGUUGUAUACCUCUCUCUUCAGUUCCAUCUCCUCCUCCUCUUCUUCAACGACCUCAGAACUUUCCACAACUUUUCCUUUUCCUUUUUCCUUCUUCUUUUUCUUACUUUCUUCUAAUGAUUUCUGUAGUUCUGCCUCACUUUGCUUGACCCUGAUCCUUGUUGCUCUUCCCUUAGGUAAUGAAGAAACAACAGACUUGGAAGAUUACACCUUGCUUUUCUUUGUUGGUUUGGAAGCAGUUAGAAUAAGCCCUGCGCUUCUUUGGAUCAUAGCUGGCCCCAACCUUCUUCAAGAUGUCAGCUAAGGUUUCCUCCACAGAUGAACCAUGUUCAUCUUGCUGCUCACUCAAAUGAACAAGGCCUUCAGCAGCCUCUCCAGAACCACUUCCCUCUGACUUGAAGUCACUAUCUUAUACGUUACCACAAAUAGCAAGAAUCUCUCCUUUCUUUUUCUUCCCCUUCUACUAGACCCAGACCCUUCUACAUCUUUUACAGAUCCAACCAACACAAACCUAUUGCCUUCCCUUUCUACCAUAUCAGAAAAUGCAAAACAAGUGUUUACCUCACAUGGGGUCUCUUUAUUUUUGUUAGUGUCAGAAGACCCAUAUUCUUCUCCUUCGCUGGCGGAGAUAUGUGUCUCAGACUCAGAGCUUGAGUCAGAUUCUUUAGCUGGGCUAUCUUUCUUUUGGCUAGUUUUCAAUUUUUCGUUUAAGGCUUUCUCAAGGAACCAGAAGCUACAGUUUUCCUGGACAACAUUUUCUACCGGCGAAAUUUAGGUUUUGGGGUUUCACUAGGAGGUCUUGAUGAUGAAGUAUUAGGAGAUACUAGUGGGGGAGUACCUGGAUUGUCUUGAGGAUUUGUCAUGGCAGAGUAUUUCUGGGAACUUUGGGAAUUUAGGAGAGAAGGAAGAUGAUA